rnacentral:rRNA from 1 species
ACGGCAGCACAGAGAAGCUUGCUUCUUGGGUGGCGAGUGGCGAACGGGUGAGUAACAUAUCGGAACGUACCGAGUAGUGGGGGAUAACUGGUCGAAAGAUCAGCUAAUACCGCAUACGUCUUGAGAGGGAAAGCAGGGGACCUUCGGGCCUUGCGCUAUUCGAGCGGCCGAUAUCUGAUUAGCUAGUUGGUGGGGUAAAGGCCUACCAAGGCGACGAUCAGUAGCGGGUCUGAGAGGAUGAUCCGCCACACUGGGACUGAGACACGGCCCAGACUCCUACGGGAGGCAGCAGUGGGGAAUUUUGGACAAUGGGCGCAAGCCUGAUCCAGCCAUGCCGCGUGUCUGAAGAAGGCCUUCGGGUUGUAAAGGACUUUUGUCAGGGAAGAAAAGGCUGUUGCUAAUAUCAGCGGCUGAUGACGGUACCUGAAGAAUAAGCACCGGCUAACUACGUGCCAGCAGCCGCGGUAAUACGUAGGGUGCGAGCGUUAAUCGGAAUUACUGGGCGUAAAGCGAGCGCAGACGGUUACUUAAGCAGGAUGUGA